rnacentral:rRNA from 1 species
GCUGGCGGCAGGCCUAACACAUGCAAGUCGAGCGGUAACAUUUCUAGCUUGCUAGAAGAUGGCGAGCGGCGGACGGGUGAGUAACGCGUAGAAAUCUACCUAGUAGUGGGGGAUAGCCCAGAGAAAUUUGGAUUAAUACCGCAUACGCCCUACGGGGGAAAGCGGGGGAUCUUCGGACCUCGUGCUAUUAGAUGAGUCUGCGUCGGAUUAGCUUGUUGGUGAGGUAAUGGCUCACCAAGGCGACGAUCCGUAGCUGGUCUGAGAGGAUGACCAGCCACACUGGAACUGAGACACGGUCCAGACUCCUACGGGAGGCAGCAGUGGGGAAUAUUGCACAAUGGGCGCAAGCCUGAUGCAGCCAUGCCGCGUGUGUGAAGAGGGCCUUAGGGUUGUAAAGCACUUUCAGCAGUGAGGAAAGGGGUGUCGUUAAUAGCGCCAUCCUGUGACGUUAACUGCAGAAGAAGGACCGGCUAACUCCGUG